UAAGUUACUUCGGUGGAUCACUUGGUUCACGGGUCGAUGAAAAACGCAGUGAAUUGCGAUAACAAGUACGAAUUACAGAUAUUAUGAGUGCCAUGUUUUUGAAUGCAUAUUGCGCCGUUGGGUUUUGCUCUUCGGCAUAUGUGAUUCAGGGUAUGUUUU
rnacentral:rRNA from 1 species